AUUGAACGCUGGCGGCAUGCCUUACACAUGCAAGUCGAACGGCAGCGGGCCUUCGGGUGCCGGCGAGUGGCGGACGGGUGAGUAAUGCAUCGGAACGUGCCAUUGAGUGGGGGAUAACGUAGCGAAAGUUACGCUAAUACCGCAUAUUCUGUGAGCAGGAAAGCAGGGGGACCGCAAGGCCUUGCGCUCUUUGAGCGGCCGAUGUCAGAUUAGCUAGUUGGUGAGGUAAAGGCUUACCAAGGCGACGAUCUGUAGCGGGUCUGAGAGGAUGAUCCGCCACACUGGAACUGAGACACGGUCCAGACUCCUACGGGAGGCAGCAGUGGGGAAUUUGGACAAUGGGCGCAAGCCUGAUCCAGCCAUGCCGCGUGAGUGAAGAAGGCC
rnacentral:rRNA from 1 species